rnacentral:tRNA from 1 species
GGAGGAGUACCCAAGUGGCUGAAGGGGACGGUUUGCUAAACCGUUAGUGUGAGCAAUUGCAGCGAGAGUUCGAAUCUCUCCUCCUCCGCCA